UACAUUUUCAAAGUUGAGAGUCUUGAUAUUGAAAUACACAGAAAGUGAGAUAAAACCUAAAACCGAUAAUCAUGUCCCUCAAUUAGGGUAAUGCUUAUGGGAUGGGGUGGAAUUGGAAGCUGAAAAGCAAGGAAGAAAAUAUGAUCAGCUGUCUCUGAAGGAAAAGAAGAAAGAGGAGGCAGAAUUUGAAAUCGCAGAAGAUGCUUCUGAUACUAUAGAAGAACAUAUCGAUGAUCAAGGGAUUUCCCUUGCGCCUUUAAACAUGGAAGACAUGAGACAUGCAAAGAAUAAGGUGACCGGAAGUUUUGCUGCACACGGAUCAAACAUGAAAAGGCCGGAGCAGUGGAAUGCUUUGUACGGAGAAAGAGGUUAAAGGAAGAAACAAGAACAACUCAAUUAAUUUAUUUAGAUUGCGGAAAACAAGUUUAAAUAUGUAAAUAUCAAUAUUCAUCCAAAGAAAGAAUCGAUCAUUAAGUAGAGUUAUUGAACCCAAAGAAAGUACGAGUAAAUUAUGGCAAACCUUUUAUGUAUUUCAUGUGCUAAUGACAUACUACCACUAUUUUUCAUUGUGCUUGUAUUUUAUGUACUAUGUAUGUAAUAGUAUUUGAUAGCAGAAA